GAUGAACGCUGGCGGCGUGCCUAAUACAUGCAAGUCGAGCGAACAGAUAAGGAGCUUGCUCCUUUGACGUUAGCGGCGGACGGGUGAGUAACACGUGGGUAACCUACCUAUAAGACUGGGAUAACUUCGGGAAACCGGAGCUAAUACCGGAUAACAUUUGGAACCGCAUGGUUCUAAAGUGAAAGAUGGUUUUGCUAUCACUUAUAGAUGGACCCGCGCCGUAUUAGCUAGUUGGUAAGGUAACGGCUUACCAAGGCGACGAUACGUAGCCGACCUGAGAGGGUGAUCGGCCACACUGGAACUGAGACACGGUCCAGACUCCUACGGGAGGCAGCAGUAGGGAAUCUUCCGCAAUGGGCGAAGGCCUGACGGAGCAACGCCGCGUGAGUGAUGAAGGGUUUCGGCUCGUAAAACUCUGUUAUUAGGGAAGAACAAACGUGUAAGUAACUGUGCACGUCUUGACGGUACCUAAUCAGAAAGCCACGGCUAACUACGUG
rnacentral:rRNA from 1 species